CCUGCCCGCCUACGGGAGGCAGCAGUAGGGAAUCUUCCGCAAUGGGCGAAAGCCUGACGGAGCAACGCCGCGUGAGUGAUGAAGGUCUUCGGAUCGUAAAACUCUGUUAUUAGGGAAGAACAAAUGUGUAAGUAACUAUGCACGUCUUGACGGUACCUAAUCAGAAAGCCACGGCUAACUACGUGCCAGCAGCCGCGGUAAUACGUAGGUGGCAAGCGUUAUCCGGAAUUAUUGGGCGUAAAGCGCGCGUAGGCGGUUUUUUAAGUCUGAUGUGAAAGCCCACGGCUCAACCGUGGAGGGUCAUUGGAAACUGGAAAACUUGAGUGCAGAAGAGGAAAGUGGAAUUCCAUGUGUAGCGGUGAAAUGCGCAGAGAUAUGGAGGAACACCAGUGGCGAAGGCGACUUUCUGGUCUGUAACUGACGCUGAUGUGCGAAAGCGUGGGGAUCAAACAGGAUUAGAUACCCUGGUAGUCCACGCCGUAAACGAUGAGUGCUAAGUGUUAGGGGGUUUCCGCCCCUUAGUGCUGCAGCUAACGCA
rnacentral:rRNA from 1 species